UACGGAGGGUGCAAGCGUUUAUCCGGAUUCACUGGGUUUAAAGGGUGCGUAGGUGGGCCUGUAAGUCAGCGGUGAAAUCUCCGGGCUUAACCCGGAAACUGCCAUUGAUACUAUAGGUCUUGAAUUAUCUGGAGGUAAGCGGAAUAUGUCAUGUAGCGGUGAAAUGCUUAGAUAUGACAUAGAACACCAAUUGCGAAGGCAGCUUACUACGGAUAUAUUGACACUGAGGCACGAAAGCGUGGGGAUCAAACAGG
rnacentral:rRNA from 1 species